rnacentral:pre_miRNA from 12 species
UGAUCGCUCAACGUCCGUGGUCGCUCUAAGUAGUAGUGCCGCAGGUAAAUGCAAUUGAUGUUACCUGUCCUCUUCUGCUUAAACUGAACAUGGAUGUAAACCAUCA